UUUGUAACUAUUUAUGUAACUAUCUAUAAAAUAUUUUUAUUUUAUAGUUUAGAAUUGUUAUUAAGUAACGUCCUGCCAAACCCGUCCCGCCAACCCGUCCCGUAAAAAAAACUCAUUUAUUUUAUUAAUGUUGAUCUUAUUUAUCAUAUGUUUAUGAAUCAUUGUCUAAAUAUUUUGUAAUUUUGUAGUAAUUAAAUGCUAUCAAAUAUCUAUGCGGUUUGAUGAUUAUAAUUGAAUUGUAAUAGUCAUGCAGAAAAACAAUAUCAAUAAUGAUAAUUUUGUAGUAAUUAAAUAAUAU
rnacentral:sRNA from 1 species